rnacentral:lncRNA from 1 species
GAGGAAAGCGGCGGCGGUGGCGGCUUCAACAGCAGCUCUUGCCCUUAAGGAACAAUGAAACACAAAGAUGGUGCAGACCCAGGCCCUGCUUUGACUGGGAGAAAGAUGCAUUCAGUUGACUAAAACUUGAACAGGGCAGUUUACUUCUAUAGAAGGGUGCACCCUCACAGAUGGACCAAUGUGUCAGGAGAAUUCAGUCACACCCAAAGCAGGGGGUAAUAAGACACCCAAGUGAGGACUUCACAGGCUGCUUGGGAGAAGACAAUCAUCCGUGGGCUUGGGAAAGGGAGAAAUGCCUACUGAGUUUAGGGAAUUGCUUGCUGGAAGAAAUGAUGGCUUGGUGGCAUGCAUGUUUAGUCCCAGCUACACAGGAGGGAGGCUGAGGCUGAAGGAAUACUUGAGCCCAGGAAUUCAAGACUAGCCUGCACAACAUAGUGAGACCCUGACUUUAAAAUAAAUUUAAAAAAAUUAAAAGCAACAAGACUUUCUGCUUGUAUAUGAUAAUGUUAGUAUGCUGACUUACAAGGUUAGAUCAUUCUGAUAUGUGUGAUGUAGGUUUUCAAAGCUGGCACUGUUUCAUGCUUCAAAUAUUAUUUUUAUUCAUUGGUUCUCAUGGGAUUUCAUCACUAAGCUGUAAAUCAAUAAUCAUAAUGUUGAGGGGAGGGGAUUACAAAAUAGCUCUUCAAAAUCAUCUUUGCAUUUCUCAAUAAACAGCAUUCCCUUUUGGACUACAGUGAAAAAUAUUGAGCUUUGUUUACUUUGAAAAUGAAUCUUAGUCUAUGAAUGCCUGGGUAGGGUCAAGAAUGAAAAAUGAGAGGAAGAGAGAAGCAUCAGGAAGAUAAAAUGAUCAAUCUCACAAA